ensembl:snRNA U12 U12 minor spliceosomal RNA
AUGCCUUAAAUUUAUGAGUAAGGAAAGUAACAAUUCAGUGUGACAACCCAAACCUCAAUGUUAAUGUGAGAUGAAUUUUUAAGCGGGUAUAGGCUGCCCCUAAGGUGACCCGCCUACUUUGCAGGAUGCCUGGGAGGCACGAUCUGCCUG